CAGGGGCAAAAGGAUGCAGGGAGGCUGCUGAUUUCCACUGGAGAGCUAAUUUCCUGUGAGAUAUUAACCGUGAUUUAAGAAAAAAAUUCCUGUAACUGUAAUGUCUUACAAUAACAGAAUGCAGGAGAGCACAUAUCAAUGAAGAAAAGACAAAAUGUAUUUAUCCAUGAAGCUGAGGUUAAGAAACCAGUGUCUUCAAGAGCCGGGGACAGCACUGGGUCUGUGCAGAGUUGAGAGAUGGUGAUGACAUGGUGAGACACAAACUCAAUCUAUUUCAUAGUUUGUCUGUGGCCAUUCCUAUUAAUAAACUUCCUUUCACAACUGUUUCAAUAUUCACACAAAAAUGUUAACCCAAUCUGCAGUUAUACCCCUUGAAUGUAAAAUAAAAAACAAAAGCCAAUAAUAAAAAACAAAAGCCAAAAAUAAAAAACCCAAUCUGCAGUUAUACCCCUUGAAUGUAAAAUAAAAAACAAAAGCCCACAAAAAUAUGAAUCCACACUUAAAAGGUGGAUUUAUUUAGCACAGUACGGAGUUUCUUAGACUUCUCUAUCACUGUCUCUAACAAUGACAUACUCACCUAACCCCACCAAGAGCAAUUUUAUUUCGUCUCUAGUUUUCAUCUAAAGAUUCAUGUGGAUUUUAGAUUCUACUCUUUUGUAGGUUCAUAUUUGUACUAUUAUAAAAUGUGACUCUCUCUCCAAACUUUGCCUAAAUUAUGGAAUG
rnacentral:sRNA from 1 species